rnacentral:rRNA from 1 species
AGAGUUUGAUCAUGGCUCAGAAUGAACGCUGGCGGCGUGCUUAACACAUGCAAGUCGAGCGAGGCGGAAGGGGGCAACUCCUUCCAGUCGAGCGGCGGACGGGUGAGUAACACGUGGGUAACCUGCCCGGAAGUGGGGAAUACCUCGGAGAAAUUCGAGCUAAUACCGCAUGACAUCUUCGGGACGAAAGUCCUGGCGAUCAAAGCGGGGUCGCAAGAUCUCGCGCUACCGGAUGGGCCCGCGCCCGAUUAGCUAGUUGGUGAGGUAACGGCUCACCAAGGCUUCGAUCGGUAACCGGCCUGAGAGGGCGAUCGGUCACACCGGAACUGAGACACGGUCCGGACUCCUACGGGAGGCAGCAGUGGGGAAUCUUGCGCAAUGGGCGAAAGCCUGACGCAGCAACGCCGCGUGGAGGAUGAAGGCCCUUGGGUUGUAAACUCCUGUCGGCUGGGAAGAAAUCGUUCGUGGCUCAUACCCACGGACGUUGACUGUACCAGCAAAGGAAGCCCCGGCUAACUCUGUGCCAGCAGCCGCGGUAAUACAGAGGGGGCUAGCGUUAUUCGGAAUUAUUGGGCGUAAAGGGCGCGUAGGCGGCCAUGCGUGUCUUCCGUGAAAUCCCUCGGCUUAACUGAGGACGUGCGGAAGAAACUGCAAGGCUCGAGUCCGGGAGAGGGGGGUGGAAUUCCCAGUGUAGCGGUGAAAUGCGUAGAUAUUGGGAGGAACACCGGUGGCGAAGGCGGCCCCCUGGACCGGUACUGACGCUGAGGCGCGAAAGCGUGGGUAGCAAACGGGAUUAGAUACCCCGGUAGUCCACGCCGUAAACGAUGGGCACUUGGUGUCGCGGGUAUCGACCCCUGCGGUGCCGAAGCUAACGCAUUAAGUGCCCCGCCUGGGGAGUACGGUCGCAAGGCUGAACUCAAAGGAAUUGACGG